AACGAACGCUGGCGGCGUGGAUAAGACAUGCAAGUCGAACGAGGUUACUCUUGGUAGCAAUACCGAGAGUGACUUAGUGGCGAACGGGUGCGUAACACGUGGGCAAUCUGCCUUAAAGUGGGGGAUAGCUCGGCGAAAGCCGAAUUAAUACCGCAUGUGAUCAGCCAAGACAUCUUGGCGACAUCAAAGCCGGGGGCAACCUGGCGCUUUUUGAGGAGCCCGCGGCCUAUCAGCUAGUUGGUGAGGUAACGGCCCACCAAGGCUUUGACGGGUAGCUGGUCUGAGAGGACGACCAGUCACACUGGAACUGAGACACGGUCCAGACACCUACGGGUGGCAGCAGUCGAGAAUUUUUCUCAAUGGGGCAACCCUGAAGGAGC
rnacentral:rRNA from 1 species